ACUCCUACGGGAGGCAGCAGUAGGAAUUUUCCGCAAUGGACGAAAGUCUGACGGAGCAAUGCCGCGUGAGUGAUGAAGGUUUUCGAAUCGUAAAGCUCUGUUGUAAGGGAAGAAUAGCAAGAAUAGGAAAUGAUUCUUGUCUGACGGUACCUUACCAGAAAGCCACGGCUAACUCUGUGCCAGCAGCCGCGGUAAUACAGAGGGUGCGAGCGUUAAUCGGAUUUACUGGGCGUAAAGCGUGCGUAGGCGGCCAUUUAAGUCAAAUGUGAAAUCCCCGAGCUUAACUUGGGAAUUGCAUUCGAUACUGGAUGGCUAGAGUAUGGGAGAGGAUGGUAGAAUUCCAGGUGUAGCGGUGAAAUGCGUAGAGAUCUGGAGGAAUACCGAUGGCGAAGGCAGCCAUCUGGCCUAAUACUGACGCUGAGGUACGAAAGCAUGGGGAGCAAACAGGAUUAGAUACCCUGGUAGGCUCUG
rnacentral:rRNA from 1 species